rnacentral:rRNA from 1 species
AGCGAACGCUGGCGGCAGGCCUAACACAUGCAAGUCGAACGAAGUCUUCGGACUUAGUGGCGGACAGGUGAGUAACACGUGGGAACGUACCUUUUGGUUCGGAACAACUCAGGGAAACUUGAACUAAUACCGGAUGAGCCCUUAGGGGGAAAGAUUUAUCGCCGAAAGAGCGGCCCGCGUUAGAUUAGCUAGUUGGUGAGGUAAAGGCUCACCAAGGCUACGAUCUAUAGCUGGUCUGAGAGGAUGAUCAGCCACACUGGGACUGAGACACGGCCCAGACUCCUACGGGAGGCAGCAGUGGGGAAUCUUGCGCAAUGGGCGAAAGCCUGACGCAGCCAUGCCGCGUGAAUGAUGAAGGUCUUAGGAUUGUAAAAUUCUUUUACCAGGGACGAUAAUGACGGUACCUGGAGAAAAAGCCCCGGCUAACUUCGUGCCAGCCGCCGCGGUAAAAC